rnacentral:rRNA from 1 species
AUACGUAGGUGGCGAGCGUUGUCCGAAUUUACUGGGCGUAAAGGGAGCGUAGGCGGUACUUUUAAGUGAGAUGUGAAAUACCCGGGCUCAACUUGGGUGCUGCAUUUCAAACUGGAAGUCUAGAGUGCAGGAGAGGAGAAGGGAAUUCCUAGUGUAGCGGUGAAAUGCGUAGAGAUUAGGAAGAACACCAGUGGCGAAGGCGCUUCUCUGGACUGUAACUGACGCUGAGGCUCGAAAGCGUGGGGAGC